rnacentral:rRNA from 1 species
AUUGAACGCUGGCGGCAUGCCUUACACAUGCAAGUCGAACGGCAGCACGGGAGCAAUCCUGGUGGCGAGUGGCGAACGGGUGAGUAAAGUAUCGGAACGUGCCCAGUCGUGGGGGAUAACGUAGCGAAAGUUACGCUAAUACCGCAUACGAUCUAUGGAUGAAAGCGGGGGAUCGCAAGACCUCGCGCGAUUGGAGCGGCCGAUAUCAGAUUAGGUAGUUGGUGGGGUAAAGGCUCACCAAGCCGACGAUCUGUAGCUGGUCUGAGAGGACGACCAGCAACACUGGGACUGAGACCCGGCCCAGACUCCUACGGGAGGCAGCAGUGGGGAAUUUUGGACAAUGGGCGAAAGCCUGAUCCAGCCAUGCCGCGUGCAGGAUGAAGGCCUUCGGGUUGUAAACUGCUUUUGUACGGAACGAAAAGGUUUGGCCUAAUAAGCUGAGCUCAUGACGGUACCGUAAGAAUAAGCACCGGCUAACUACGUGCCAGCAGCCGCCGCGG